UGCUAUACCUCUGAAAUGGCAAAAAGACACACUCACUCGUUGAAUUUGUCACAUGGUCUAAUCUGGUUUUGUCAGAGCUGCAGCAGUGCUUCGCUCACCUCAGCAGGAUUAUCAGUAACAAAGAAAAGGCAGGACUAAGUGGACUGAAGUGAGCUUGAAGACAGAGUUUCAGAUGCCACUUGUUGAAGAGAGGUGAAGGUGAUGGGAAAACUGGAUAAUGAGGCGCCUCCCACCGUGAUCUCAAUGGUUUGCCAAUGAAGCGGGGCAUGAUAUCAUCACAGUGAUGUCAGGAUGACGCACCUCACUGAGCUGAAGAAUUCAACCCACUGAUGAUGACAAUGAAACCAGGCAAAUUAAAAAUAUACAUGGCUCCAAACAUUGCGUCAUAUUUGGACCUGAGACGCUUUUGCAUUGAUCCAAAGUGAUCUGAACUUAAAUGAUGCCGACUGAUAUUGACCCAUAACUGGCUUCUUAUGGUUCAGGAGGGACAUCAACGCUACGUCAUCCAGUAGGUGACCUACUGUGGUCAAUAUCUCCCUCCAGUGUACAGAAAUAAAACUUCACCACAAAAACAGAAAUGGCUACCAUAAUCGUCUGCCAUAUACUGAUGAUAGCAUGUGCAAUGUUAAGGUUUAUUAAUAUACAAUAACAAACCUUAUGAAAAAAUAGCAAUCAUACUAAUAACAUUUAGGAUAUGAAAAUAAGAAAAACAGAUAUUCAGGUGUCACCACCUGUUUCACUCCCUGUCUGCAAUGGUUAGAGCCUUGCUUGUGUUUGUCCAGUUCUUGUUGUAUACUCCCAUCUUGUGGUAAAGAAGAAACAUAGCAUAAGAAGCUUAGAAAUAACAUGUCUGUUACCAGUUCAAUGGCAUAUUUACUUAAACAUUACACUGUGUGACUGAAGCCAAUG